ACGUAGGGGGCAAGAGUUGUCCGGAAUGAUUGGGCGUAAAGGGCGCGUAGGCGGCCUGGUAAGUCUGGAGUGAAAGUCCUGCUUUUAAGGUGGGAAUUGCUUUGGAUACUGUCGGGCUUGAGUGCAGGAGAGGUAAGUGGAAUUCCCGGUGUAGCGUUGAAAUGCGUAGAGAUCGGGAGGAACACCAGUGGUGAAGGCGACUUACUGGACUGUAACUGACGCUGAGGCGAGUAAGUGUUGUGUGCGAACAG
rnacentral:rRNA from 1 species